rnacentral:rRNA from 1 species
CCUUGCCAGCCCGCUCAGAAACUCAAAGGAAUUGACGGGGGCCGCACAAGCGGUGGAGCAUGUGGUUUAAUUCGAAGCGACGCGAAGAACCUUACCAGGCCUUGACAUACAGAGAACUUUCCAGAGAUGGAUUGGUGCCUUCGGGAACUCUGACACAGGUGCUGCAUGGCUGUCGUCAGCUCGUGUCGUGAGAUGUUGGGUUAACGUCCCGUAACGAGCGCAACCCUUGUCCUUAGUUACCAGCACGUUAUGGUGGGCACUCUAAGGAGACUGCCGGUGACAAACCGGAGGAAGGUGGGGAUGGACGUCAAGUCAUCAUGGCCCUUACGGCCUGGGCUACACACGUACUACAAUGGCCGAUACAAAGGGCAGCGACACUGCGAGGUGAGGCCAAUCCCGUAAAAUCGGUCUCAGUCCGGAUUGGAGUCUGCAACUCGACUCCAUGAAGUUGGAAUCGCUAGUAAUCGUGGAUCAGCAUGCCACGGUGAAUACGUUCCCGGGCCUU